AGUUGAUCUAAAUAUCUCUCAGGGCCUUGAAUAAGACCCAGUGAACAAUUUUUGGAGACCCUAUUCCUCUGGAGUAGGGUG
rfam:Caenorhabditis brenneri strain PB2801 C_brenneri-6.0.1_Cont150.7, whole genome shotgun sequence.